AAGCAUUCGUCAUCUAAUACCCCAAGUACGCCCCAACUCCCCCAUUGUACAAUCCCUGACCUAAAACCCUCGUCCUUUCUCUUAAGCCGUUCCUAUGUUUAUCAAGAGACCUCUCCUCACCCCAAGCCUCACACUCACUAGAAAAAUUUGGUGGGUAGAAAUAUUGAUCUUUAGCGACAGUCGUUAAAUUGCCCCUUAUGAAUCACACACUCCACGCCGCUCCCUCUUCACGAUUCGUCUUCUUCCCGCCCUCUCCUCUCCGAGCCGAUUCUAUCUCUCUCUCUCUCUCUCGCUCUGUCUCGCUCGCUCGCUCGCUUGUUCUCUCUCUACUUUCUCACAACGGAGAACUACCUUGGUGUGUAGUUUUUCACAACCGGAUGACAACCAGAGGACGCGCUCUCUCUCUCUCUACUUUCUCACAAUCGGAGAACGACCUCGGUCUAUAGUUUCUCACAACUGGACGACGGGAGAGGGUGAUCUUGAUCUCAACUUUCUCACAACCGAAGAACAACCGCGGUCCAGAUUUUCUCACAAUCGGACGGCAACCAGAGGGCAACCUCGAUAUCGGCUUUCUCACCACCAGAUAGACAACCGGAUAUUGAAAUUAACAGGGUCAUGCUCCAAGUAAAUCGUGGAAAGAUUCCUAAAAAUAGGUAUUAUGGUUUCAUCAGCUACUGUACUCAGUGCGGGAAUUCUCAGGCUUUUUGUGUACAAACUGAACUUGGAAAUACCCGGUGCUAUGGGUGCAAUGAUAAUCUCUACUUGGUCCAUGGUCAUAGGAGGAUUGUUCUAUGUUUUUGGUGGUUGGUGCCCUCAGACAUGGAGGGGAUUCUCCAAAAGUGCAUUCUCGGAACUUUGGCCUAUGGUGAAGCUCUCUCUUUCAUCUGGUGUGAUGCUCUGGUUACUCUAGGAGACUUUUUCUUGGCAGACCAGCUAACUAGUCAGGUCCAAGCCAUUAGAAGCCUGUGAUACCUGAUAUCUCUCAUAUGGCUCUGAAUUCUGAUACCAUAUUAUGCAACUGUUCAACUGAAAGCCGAAUCUGUUGGGGAGAGGUCAUUUCCAUGGCCAAGCCUAUAAUUGCAGAUGCCAUACUGAUGGGAUACUGUCCACCGCAGAGGGAAACCUAACCUCCUACUAAGAAAAGAAGAAGAAGAAAUGGAUUAAGCCAGCGAAGGGCGGACGUUUGGCUUCUUUCAGCAUGCUGUGCUCCUCAUGGGACUUUAUAGGCACUGUGGGCUGGUCCCCGUGCUGGUUAGGGGUAUGGGCCUUCGGUCUCACAUGGGCUGGGGCCCCAACAACUCGCCCCUCCUUCAGAACAACCUUGUCCUCAAGGUUGAAGCCUGGAAACCUCUUCUUGAGAUUGUCAGUCUUCCCAGGAUGCAUCCUCCUCGGGCAGGUGUUUCCAAACCACUAAGGCCUCCUUGUGCACUAUCUUUCUCCUUUUAACCCACCUUAGAUCUCGAACCACCAUAGGCUUCGGCUGCAGGUGCCCCUCCUCAUUGAACUCAGGCAAUGUGGGGUUAGCAUUCGUGUAGGGUCCUAUACUCUUCUUUAGUAGGGAAACAUGGAAGACUGGGUGGAUGCGAGAAGAUGGCGGAAGAUCCAAUCUGUAGGCCACCUCUCCUACUCGGCCCACUAUACGAAAGGGCCCAAAAAACUGAGGUGCAAGGACACAAACUCCCCCUCCUGGUAGGGCUGAUACUUGGCGGUAGGGCUGAAGCUUCAAGGACACAAUCUGUCGCCCACUUCCGCUGGGCGACUGAUACUUGGCGGUAGGGCUGAAGCUUCAAGGACACAAACUCCCCCUCCUGGUAGGUUAUCGGCCUGUGCUUUUUGUCAUACUGGGCCUUCAUUUGCUGCUGGGCCCGGUUCAGAUGUUCCUUCAGGGACCUCAAAACCUCAUCCCUCUGCUGUAUUUUUUCUUCCAUUUCUGCCACUGCUGUUGACCCAACUUCAUAGGGAAGUAUAAGAGGUGGUUCCCUCUCAUACAAUGCCUUAAAUGGGCUCAUUCCCAAUGAGGAGUGAUAGGUGGUAUUGUACCACAGCUCGGCCCAUGGCAGCCAAUUCAUCCACUGUUUGGGCCUCUCCCCCGUAAAGCAUCUCAAAUAAGUUUCCAAGCACCUGCUCCACUUCGGACUGUCCGUCGGCUUGUGGGUGGUAGCUGGUGGUGUGGUUCAACUGAGUCCCCUGGACUUUAAAAUAUGUAGUCCAGAAGCGGCUCAUGAAAGCCGGGUCCCUAUCUGUCACAAUGGAUCGUGGGGUGCCAUGCAGUCUGGUCACCUCUUUGACAAAGGUGUGUGCCACUUGGGCCGCUGUGUAUGGGUGCACCAUCCCAAUAAGAUGACUGUAUUUUGUUAGCCUAUCCACCACUACCAUAAUUAUUGAUUUACCCAUGGAAGUUGGGAGUCCUGUGAUGAAAUCCAUGGUAAUAUCCUCCCAUACUUGAGCCGGAAUCGGGAGAGGCUGCAACAAUCCCGUGGGAGUUUGAUGGUCAGAUUUGUAAUGUUGGCAAGUAGUGCAUUGAGCUACAAACUUCUGGACGGCUUUCUUCAUCCCUAACCAAAACAAAUGCUGGCUUACCCGACGGUAGGUACGGAGUAUUCCCGAAUUGCCACCCAAGGCAGAGCCAUGAAAUAAUUGAAGUAACUCCGGAAGAAACUUUGAUUGGGCCACAAUCACUAGGCACCCUUUAAAGAAAAGAUCUGGCCCCACUAAGUAGAACCUUGGGGCUGAAGUCGGAUCUGUUGUAAGCUUCUGGACGACCUUCUGUAUGGUUUCGUCUAGGUGGGCUUCUUCCUUGAGCCUGGCCCAGAUAGAAAAGUUGUUAUGGUUUUCACCCAAUAUGAAAACCUCUUGACUGCGGGAUAGAGCAUCUACUGCCUUGUUUGCUACAUGUGGCUUAUACUCUACCUGGGAGUCAAACCCUAGUAGCUUAUACAACCACUUCUGCUGAGUUGGGCUAUGCACGGGUUGCUCUAACAAGUGCUUGAGGCUUAGUACCUUCCCUCCUAGUUCCUUAACAAUAGUACAACACCUAAACACUAACUCCACCUUAUCACAAAUGUUGUGUCGAUUUUAGGAACUUAAGGAAAGGUUGCCUGAAGGUCGAAUUCCCUCUUCCUAAUAUGGAGGUACUGAUAGACUCAACCGCGGUCCAUGAACUUUUCUCCUUCCUAGAUGCCUAUAGUGGAUACAACCAAAUAUUCAUGGAUCCCGCAAAUGCUCCCCACACCUUCUUCAGGGCACCCACAGGGAACUUCUAUUACAAAAUGAUGCCAUUCGGCUUGAAGAACGUCGAGCCACAUACCAGAGAGCAAUGGCUAGUGUCUUCCAGGACAUGAUCUAUAAGGAGAUCAAGUGCUAUGUUGUUGACAUAGUCAUCAAAGCAAGAGGAAGAGGAGACCACUCGGAAGUUCUAAGGAAAAUAUUCACGCGGUGUAGGGAGUUUAAGUUGAGAUUGAAUCUACUGAAGUGCGCAUUCGGAGUAUAGUCGGGAAAGUUCCUCAGGUACCAGGUAGAUCAAAGCGGGAUACACCCAGACAAAAGCACAUAUCCCAAGGUGGAAGUUCACACCCAAA